AUGAACGCUGGCGGCGUGCCUAAUACAUGCAAGUCGAGCGAACGGACGAGAAGCUUGCUUCUCUGAUGUUAGCGGCGGACGGGUGAGUAACACGUGGAUAACCUACCUAUAAGACUGGGAUAACUUCGGGAAACCGGAGCUAAUACCGGAUAAUAUUUUGAACCGCAUGGUUCAAAAGUGAAAGACGGUCUUGCUGUCACUUAUAGAAGGAUCCGCGCUGCAUUAGCUAGUUGGUAAGGUAACGGCUUACCAAGGCAACGAUGCAUAGCCGACCUGAGAGGGUGAUCGGCCACACUGGAACUGAGACACGGUCCAGACUCCUACGGGAGGCAGCAGUAGGGAAUCUUCCGCAAAGGGCGAAAGCCUGACGGAGCAACGCCGCGUGAGUGAUGAAGGUCUUCGGAUCGUAAAACUCUGUUAUUAGGGAAGAACAUAUGUGUAAGUAACUGUGCACAUCUUGACGGUACCUAAUCAGAAAGCCACGGCUAACUACGUG
rnacentral:rRNA from 1 species